ensembl:lncRNA
CUACCAGUUGUUGGGUAUUGGACCUGCCAUGGAAAACAAGUCAUGGCCCAGUGCUGGAGAACUUACAAGACUUGUAAGGAAGCUGAUGGGCAAACAAGGAGUGGAAAUGCAGAUAUCAGAGAAACUAGCAUCCAAUCCCAGGCGAGGUGGUUCUUUGGGACACUAGUCCACCAUCUUCUCUGUCUGCUGGCUUUCCAAAUAAAGUUGCUACUUGUCUCCCGAUUGAUCGGCCUGUCCUCUGGCAAAUAGUACAGUCUUGGAAUCGGUAACAAAUUUGUUAAAGUUGAACAGGAACCUUGCUGCUCUCGGCCAGCCAGCCUCAGUAGGGGAAUUUUCAAGCCUGAUGCUGAGAGAUAGACAAGAAGAAGAGCCUGGCCUCAAGAAUUUAUAAUCUAGUGAAUCAAAAAGUAAUGUAAGGAAAAAUAAAGAAAAGUUAAGGAAAAGAAAAGUAAUCUAGGGACUUCCCUGGUGGUCUAGUGGCUAAGACUCUGUACUCCCAAUACAAGGGGCCUGAGUUCAAUCCGUAGUCAGGGAACUAGAUCCCGCAUGCCACAGCUAAAGAGCCUGCAUGCUUCAAUGAAGACGGAAGAUCCUACACACUGCGACUAAGACCUGG